rnacentral:lncRNA from 1 species
GGCCCUAGACCCGCGGAGAGGGAGUGACCAAAGACAAAAUCUGUGUGGCCCCCAAAAAGUCAAGGUCUAAUAAGCCCUUCGUCAGCUGCAGGUACUCCCUCAGGCUCGGGCUCCCAACUCUAGCUGGAGACCCGGACAGAGCGCCGGUCCCCUGGCUGCCUGCGACGCGGGGCACCAAGUCUAGCGCAGUGGGCGGUGAGGUGCGGCGAAGGUGAAGCCGGCAGCUCCGAGCGGUCCACGUUGCAUCCCCCGGGCGACAGCCCUGAGCGACUCCAGGACCGCCAGCCGGCGGGGCAAAAAAUUACAAAAGUAACCUGAGCAGCCCCGGCGUAAAGUUACAAAGAAAGUGAACCUCAAAAGGAAAAAAGGCCUGCACUCAGAGCUCGGCGGAUUCCCGUGCGCUCUGGGCACGGAUCUUGGAAAGCUGCGAAAGUCACCAAAAAGAAGCAGGCAAGGAAACAAAAGUUGCCCCAAAAGAAGAGGGUAUCCUCUGGGCUCUUUCCGAGUUCCACAGGGCAACGACGCGCGGGCAGCGGCUGCGGAGGCCGGGCGGAGGUUAACAAGGAGAGCUGGAGCAAAUGAAAUCCAAGAUGAAAGAAUGAAGAGGAAUAAAGGUUUGGAUUGCAAGGCACUGCCUGAAGUUGCAUACCAGCUGAGCUCCACUCUGAGGAACUUAAGGAGGGGGAAUUAAUGAAAGUGAAGCGAUCAAGAAUGCUGAACAUAAAUCUCACCUACUACACUAUUUUGCUUGCACUCAGUUCGACUUCCCAGGCUUCUCUAAUUUGUUCCUCAGACACUCUGGUCAAAUAAAUCAUUAUUCCACCAGUGAUGAUAACUGUUCCAAAAAGCAAACUAUCAGACACCACCCAUUCAAUCCUCUAGCUUUGAAAUGUGCCAGAAUAUUCUUGGCCUGUGCUUGGAUGAAUAAAUGGAUGGGGAGAAUUAAGCACUGCUGACUAGAAAAUGAUUUUUAAACACAGCCAAGGAGGCAUCAUUUUCUUUUUAUUCAGGAGGUCAUUCAAAGAAGACAGAAAGACAAGCGGAUUAUCUUUCUCCUAAAUGGAAUGCAGAAGUGGUGUUUUUAAAAUAGAGAAUCCAUUAAUGCUGCAUAAUAUAAAAUGUAUACAAUGUAUUUAUUCUGGGUAUUAAAUUAAAAUAUUAGAUGUACACAACUGAGAUAUUUUCUGUCAUAGUUUAAAGUUUAUCUGGAUUAUAGUUUAAGAAUGCUAUGGGACAUCUAAAGAAUUUUUGGGUGAAAUGUUAAAUUAAUCAUUUUGAGUAUUUCUUCUAAAUUAGAUUUGGUUAUUUAAUUUCCAAAUUAUAUAUUCAUAAGAAUGUUUUUAGAGUUCUAAUUUAUGUAUUUCUAGCUUGGUUUUCUUUGGAAUAAGCUUUCAUGAAAUAUAUUCUCAGAUAUUAAAUUAUUAUUCUAUUAUUCUC